rnacentral:rRNA from 1 species
UGCAAGUCGAGCGGAAGGCCCCUUCGGGGGUACUCGAGCGGCGAACGGGUGAGUAACACGUGAGCAACCUGCCCCUGACUCUGGGAUAAGCCCGGGAAACUGGGUCUAAUACCGGAUAUGACUACCGUCCGCAUGGGCUGGUGGUGGAAAGUUUUUCGGUUGGGGAUGGGCUCGCGGCCUAUCAGCUUGUUGGUGGGGUGAUGGCCUACCAAGGCGACGACGGGUAACCGGCCUGAGAGGGCGACCGGUCACACUGGGACUGAGACACGGCCCAGACUCCUACGGGAGGCAGCAGUGGGGAAUAUUGCGCAAUGGGCGGAAGCCUGACGCAGCGACGCCGCGUGAGGGAUGACGGCCUUCGGGUUGUAAACCUCUUUCAGCAGGGACGAAGCUAACGUGACGGUACCUGCAGAAGAAGCGCCGGCUAACUACGUGCCAGCAGCCGCGGUAAUACGUAGGGCGCAAGCGUUGUCCGGAAUUAUUGGGCGUAAAGAGCUCGUAGGCGGUUUGUCGCGUCUGUCGUGAAAGCCCACAGCUUAACUGUGGGUCUGCGGUGGAUACGGGCAGACUAGAGGCAGGUAGGGGAGAAUGGAAUUCCCGGUGUAGCGGUGAAAUGCGCAGAUAUCGGGAGGAACACCGGUGGCGAAGGCGGUUCUCUGGGCCUGUACUGACGCUGAGGAGCGAAAGCGUGGGGAGCGAACAGGAUUAGAUACCCUGGUAGUCCACGCCGU